GACGAACGCUGGCGGCGUGCUUAACACAUGCAAGUCGAACGGCAAGGCCCUGCUUUUGUGGGGUGCUCGAGUGGCGAACGGGUGAGUAACACGUGAGUAACCUGCCCUUGACUUUGGGAUAACUUCAGGAAACUGGGGCUAAUACCGGAUAGGAGCUCCUGCUGCAUGGUGGGGGUUGGAAAGUUUCGGCGGUUGGGGAUGGACUCGCGGCUUAUCAGCUUGUUGGUGGGGUAGUGGCUUACCAAGGCUUUGACGGGUAGCCGGCCUGAGAGGGUGACCGGCCACAUGGGGACUGAGAUACGGCCCAGACUCCUACGGGAGGCAGCAGUGGGGAAUAUUGCACAAUGGGCGGAAGCCUGAUGCAGCAACGCCGCGUUCGGGAUGACGGCCUUCGGGUUGUAAACCGCUUUCGCCUGUGACGAAGCGUGAGUGACGGUAAUGGGUAAAGAAGCACCGGCUAACUACGUG
rnacentral:rRNA from 1 species